CCUACGGGAGGCAGCAGUGGGGAAUUUUGGACAAUGGGGGCAACCCUGAUCCAGCCAUGCCGCGUGCAGGAUGAAGGCCUUCGGGUUGUAAACUGCUUUUGUCAGGGACGAAAAGGACCGUGUUAAUACCAUGGUCUGCUGACGGUACCUGAAGAAUAAGCACCGGCUAACUACGUGCCAGCAGCCGCGGUAAUACGUAGGGUGCAAGCGUUAAUCGGAAUUACUGGGCGUAAAGCGUGCGCAGGCGGUCUGUCAAGUCGGAUGUGAAAUCCCCGGGCUCAACCUGGGAACUGCAUUCGAAACUGGCAGGCUGGAGUCUUGUAGAGGGGGGUAGAAUUCCAGGUGUAGCGGUGAAAUGCGUAGAUAUUUGGAAGAACACCAAUGGCGAAGGCAGCCCCCUGGGAUGCGACUGACGCUCAUGCAC
rnacentral:rRNA from 1 species